rnacentral:rRNA from 1 species
AGUGAACGCUGGCGGUAGGCCUAACACAUGCAAGUCGAACGGCAGCACAGUAAGAGCUUGCUCUUACGGGUGGCGAGUGGCGGACGGGUGAGGAAUACAUCGGAAUCUACUUUUUCGUGGGGGAUAACGUAGGGAAACUUACGCUAAUACCGCAUACGACCUACGGGUGAAAGCAGGGGAUCUUCGGACCUUGCGCGAUUGAAUGAGCCGAUGUCGGAUUAGCUAGUUAGCGGGGUAAAGGCCCACCAAGGCGACGAUCCGUAGCUGGUCUGAGAGGAUGAUCAGCCACACUGGAACUGAGACACGGUCCAGACUCCUACGGGAGGCAGAAGUGGGGAAUAUUGGACAAUGGGCGCAAGCCUGAUCCAGCCAUACCGCGUGGGUGAAGAAGGCCUUCGGGUUGUAAAGCCCUUUUGUUGGGAAAGAAAAGCAGCAGGUUAAUACCCCGCUGUUCUGACGGUACCCAAAGAAUAAGCACCGGCUAACUUCGUG